rnacentral:misc_RNA from 1 species
UAUGAAGAACGCAGCGAAAUGCGAUACUUGGUGUGAAUUGCAGAAUCCCGUGAACCAUCGAGUCUUUGAACGCAAGUUGCGCCCGAAGCCACUAGGCCGAGGGCACGCCUGCCUGGGCGUCACACGCCGUUGCCCCCCCAUCUACUCCUUCGGGAUUGCGGGGGGGCGGAUGAUGGCCUCCCGUGCGCCUAGCCGCGCGGUUGGCAUAAAUACCAAGUCCUCGGCGACGCACGCCACGACAAUCGGUGGUUGCGAAACCUCGGUUGCCCGUCGUGUGCGUUCGUCGCGCAUCGAGGGCUCGAAAAAAUGCUCGGCUCCGGCUGGGCUUUCAACGCGAACCCAGGUCAGGCGGGGUUACCCGCUGAAUUUAAGCAUAUCAAUAAGCGGAGGA